rnacentral:rRNA from 1 species
UAACCUGCCUCUUAGCGGGGGAUAACUAUUGGAAACGAUAGCUAAUACCGCAUAAAAGUCGAUAUCGCAUGAUAUUGAUUUGAAAGGCGCAAUUGCAUCACUAAGAGAUGGACCUGCGUUGUAUUAGCUAGUUGGUGAGGUAACGGCUCACCAAGGCGACGAUACAUAGCCGACCUGAGAGGGUGAUCGGCCACACUGGGACUGAGACACGGCCCAG